rnacentral:rRNA from 1 species
AGCGAACGCUGGCGGCAGGCUUAACACAUGCAAGUCGAGCGGGCAUCCUUGUGAUGUCAGCGGCAGACGGGUGAGUAACGCGUGGGAACGUGCCCUUCGGUUCGGAAUAACUCAGGGAAACUUGAGCUAAUACCGGAUACGUGCGAGAGCAGAAAGGUUUAUCUGCCGAAGGAUCGGCCCGCGUCUGAUUAGCUAGUUGGUGAGGUUAUGGCUCACCAAGGCGACGAUCAGUAGCUGGUCUGAGAGGAUGAUCAGCCACACUGGGACUGAGACACGGCCCAGACUCCUACGGGAGGCAGCAGUGGGGAAUAUUGGACAAUGGGGGCAACCCUGAUCCAGCCAUGCCGCGUGAGUGAUGACGGCCUUAGGGUUGUAAAGCUCUUUUCUCCGGGACGAUAAUGACGGUACCGGAGGAAUAAGCCCCGGCUAACUUCGUG